GAUGAACGCUGGCGGCGUGCCUAAUACAUGCAAGUCGAGCGAACAGACGAGGAGCUUGCUCCUCUGACGUUAGCGGCGGACGGGUGAGUAACACGUGGAUAACCUACCUAUAAGACUGGGAUAACUUCGGGAAACCGGAGCUAAUACCGGAUAAUAUAUUGAACCGCAUGGUUCAAUAGUGAAAGACGGUUUUGCUGUCACUUAUAGAUGGAUCCGCGCCGCAUUAGCUAGUUGGUAAGGUAACGGCUUACCAAGGCAACGAUGCGUAGCCGACCUGAGAGGGUGAUCGGCCACACUGGAACUGAGACGCGGUCCAGACUCCUACGGGAGGCAGCAGUAGGGAAUCUUCCGCAAUGGGCGAAAGCUUGACGGAGCAACGCCGCGUGAGUGAUGAAGGUCUUCGUAUCGUAAAACUCUGUUAUUAGGGAAGAACAAAUGUGUAAGUAACUAUGCACGUCUUGACGGUACCUAAUCAGAAAGCCACGGCUAACUACGUG
rnacentral:rRNA from 1 species